UACGUAGGCAGCGAGCGUUGUUCGGAGUUACUGGGCGUAAAGAGUGCGUAGGCGGUUUUCUAAGUUUGGUGUGAAAUCUCCCGGCUUAACUGGGAGGGUGCGCCGAAAACUGGAAGGCUUGAGUAUGGGAGAGGUAAGCGGAAUUCCUGGUGUAGCGGUGAAAUGCGUAGAUAUCAGGAGGAACACCUGCGGUGUAGACGGCUUUCUGGACCAUUACUGACACUGAGACACGAAAGCGUGGGUAGCAAACAGG
rnacentral:rRNA from 1 species